rnacentral:rRNA from 1 species
UACGGAGGGGGCUAGCGUUGUUCGGAAUUACUGGGCGUAAAGCGCGCGUAGGCGGACCUGCAAGUCGGGGGUGAAAGCCCGAGGCUCAACCUCGGAACUGCCUUCGAUACUGCGGGUCUCGAGUCCGGGAGAGGUGAGUGGAAUUCCUGGUGUAGCGGUGAAAUGCGCAGAUAUCAGGAAGAACACCCGUGGCGAAGGCCGCUCUCUGGUACGGAACUGACGCUGAGACGCGAAAGCGUGGGGAGCGAACAGA